rnacentral:rRNA from 1 species
GACGUAGGGGGCCAGCGUUGUUCGGAAUUACUGGGUGUAAAGGGGUUCGUAGGCGGUGUGGCAAGUCGGGAGUGAAAUCUCUGGGCUCAACUCAGAGACUGCUUCCGAAACUGGCUGUGCUGGAGUGUGGGAGAGGCGCGUGGAAUUGCAGGUGUAGCGGUGAAAUGCGUAGAUAUCUGCAGGAACACCCGUGGCGAAAGCGGCGCGCUGGACCACUACUGACGCUGAGGAACGAAAGCUAGGGGAGCAAACAGG